rnacentral:ncRNA from 2 species
CCCGCCGAGGGGCGCUGCGACCGUUCUCGUGAAUGUGGAUCCAAUCCGCAACAGCCUGCACAUCCGUGUGCGGACUCUUCACAUAGACGGCCAGGCUCGGUGCGGCACGUUCCACAACGGCGCCCGGUUGUU